rnacentral:tRNA from 1 species
GGCACUUUGCCAGAGUGGUUAAUGGGUAGCACUCGAAUUCUUGUAGCUUACUACAAAAUAUAAGAUAUGCUAUGUCUUCGGACGCGCAGGUUCAAAUCCUGCAGGUGUCG